CAGCCGCCGCGGGAAUACGUAGGUGGCAAGCGUUGUCCGGAAUUAUUGGGCGUAAAGCGCGCGCAGGCGGAUCAGUUAGUCUGUCUUAAAAGUUCGGGGCUUAACCCCGUGAUGGGAUGGAAACUGCUGAUCUAGAGUAUCGGAGAGGAAAGUGGAAUUCCUAGUGUAGCGGUGAAAUGCGUAGAUAUUAGGAAGAACACCAGUGGCGAAGGCGACUUUCUGGACGAAAACUGACGCUGAGGCGCGAAAGCCAGGGGAGCGAACGGGAUUAGAUACCCGAGUAGUCCCUGUCUCUUAUACC
rnacentral:rRNA from 1 species